AGUUUAUUAGUGCUGUCUUUUAUGCAUGGCCUUGAUUAAUUUUCUACAAGAUCUAACAUGGAGCAGUUUUCCAGCUACUUCAGCCUGUAAUAAGACCCAGUAGAACCUUGGAGUCAUAUGGCUGAAUGGAGGAGAGGGAAUGUCUGAGGGGCUGGCUUCCCCAAUGAAGUCUGCCUGGGGAAGACAAGAGAGAGUGGAGUUUCUACACACAAGUCCCUUCUGUCUCCUCUUCAGCCAGUUGGCCUUGGGGAAACAGCCCUCUGUACAAAUACUAUUUAUGUUGAAUGGAGACAUGUGAAAGAAAAGAAAGGACAAAGUCUACCAAAAAGAAAGAUUAAAAAGAGGUGCACCCCAACAGUCCCCAAGUCCCUCUGAAGCAUUCCCAUGUGAUAUUCAGCCCCUGACACUGGCUACUCAUCGAAAUCUCAGAUCCUCUGCUCCCAAAGGAACAAGUUUCACUUACCAGAAUGAAGAGGCAACGAGAAGCAAGUUUUGCGUGCUCAGGAAUGGUAGAAAACACUGACAAAAUCAAGCAACCAAAUACAAGAAGAAAACUGAAAAAGAAAAGAAUAUUAAAGAAUUAAGAACACUGAAUAAUGAGAAAAUGAAGAGUCAGUGUUUGCCAACUGACUGUGUUCCAGGAUUAGCUUAUUGUAUUUGGCCUACAGAGGUAAAGCAGUAAAGUGGCUAAAGCAGCAGAGCC